CAUGUCUUUUUGAUUAUAAUUUAAAGUCUAACCUGCCCAAUGAGGUGUUAAAUGGCCGCAAUAUUUUGAUUGUGCUAAGGUAGCAUAAUAAUUAGUUUUUUAAUUGAGAACUAGUAUGAAUGGUUGGACGAGAAAGUGACUGUCUCAAUUUAAUUUAAAUUAGAAUUUUAUUUUUAAGUUAAAAAGCUUAAAUAAAUUUAAAAGACGAGAAGACCCUAUAGAGUUUUAUAAAAAUUUUUAUUUUUAUUAAUUUAAGUAUUUUUAUAUUAUUAUUAGUAAAUUUUUUAUUUAGUUGGGGUGACUAAAAAAUUUAAUAAACUUUUUUUUUAUUUUAACAUUAAUUUAUGAAUGUUUGAUCCAUAUGUUUAUGAUUAAAAGAUUAAAUUACCUUAGGGAUAACAGCGUAAUUUUUUUUGAGAGUUCUUAUCGAAAAAAAAGAUUGCGACC
rnacentral:rRNA from 1 species